GUGUCAGUGGCCGUUUUCCAGCAAGCGACAUUGUGUAACACUGUGUAACACCGUGCAACACAGUGUCGUAUGGUGCCCAUGUUAUUUCGCUCUUAGUGGAACGCAAUGUAACAUAGUGCGUUUGCUGGAAAACAGGGGGUGAUAGCAUCAUGAAAAAAAAAAUGAUGAGCAAGUUUUUUAAGCGAUCACGAUAUCGGCAAAAAAUUAAAGAAACGUGUAGUAUGUGAACGCUAUACAGUCACGUCGAUUUCUGAGAGAACAGCAACGCAGAGCUUAUUGAUUGUAGAAGUAGUCAAUACUAUAUACUCAUGAAAGUUUAGACAAACUAAAGAAAAGAAGGUGGUAACUUGAUAUAUCAUUUAUGUUCUCGUCACAAAUUUUGUUAGCAAUUUCCCUCGGCUCACUACCUAUGAUACAAAUGGUCCGUGUUGCAAAGAUGGUAGCAACUGUGCUCGUUGUGAGAAUCGUUUCGCUGAGCAUAUAUUGAGCUAGAAGUUAGAGACAACGGAAACUUCAACAAAACAUUGCAGUGUACACUGCAAGCAUUUCCGAAAGAAUUGGUGUUCCCGAAUUCAGAUGAGCAGAUCACUUCCAAGUACAGACUUGCUGCCGUUUCGGAAUACGUUCCAGGACAUUAUAUAGCUCACUCACUUAGAAAUGGUGGUUUCUGGGAUACGUUCAAUGAUAUUAAUAAAAAGAAAACGGUUUGCAAUCCAGGAAAAGCUAUUCAACCUCAUCUCGCACUGUAUAUAAGAAAAUGUUAGCGCAGGAGCAGGAGAUUCCUGAUGGUGUGCUUAAAUUUGGACAAUAGUUCGUAGAUUAUGUAAGUGAAGUGUCAGGAAUAGCAUCAAGGAAAAAAAAUGACGAGCAAGUUUUGGAAGUGAUCGAGACGAAAGAUACCGGCGAUAAAAUUGAAGAGACGAUUGUGAUUGCUGAAGAGCAAAACAUUAAUAAAACCGCUGAUAGUGUGAACGUUGUAUUGUCACGUCAAUUUCUGGGGAAACAGCAACGCAGGGCUUAUUGAUUGCAGUAGUCGUCAAUACUACUUAUAAAAAUUUAAACAAACUCAAGAAAUGAAGGUGAAUCUGCCAAGGCUCUUUACUUCUAUGGACCAAUAAGAGUUACGGUGCUGUGCAACAUCUGUUUAUUCAUAUCGACGACGAUGAAGAUCAUUCAACCUAAGAAGCUCAUCAUUUAAAAGAUAUGGACAGUCAACGUCAUGAUGAUAACAAACAAUGGUUCAAUUUGUAUCUGAAGCUCUUCAUCGUAAUGGGAAUCAACUGGUCAAUGGAAAUAAUAAGCUGGCUUUUCAAGGACUCGCCCCAAUAUGUUUGGUACAUGACAGAUUUCGCAAAUACGCUGCAGGGUGUUAUCAUAUUCAUAAUAUUCGUAUGGAAAGAUAAAACCGAAGGAUUACUGUUGGACCGUCUCGGAUGCCAAAAUAAUAGCUUUCAAUCGAGAAAUUCAACGAGAAGCGGUUAUCGCAGCUCGGCUUCCAGAACUUGCACCACAACCGCUGUGAUGGCACCACUUCAAUAAAAAAAUAAUGUUACUAACGAGCACACCAAAACCACCACCGAUGAGAGCGUUUGUCUUUAUGGGAUCGCCAAGUCAAUUUUGUUCUCUUUCAAUUCUUCAACAAUAUGAAUCUAGAAAAUAAGUAUUGAUUUUUUGACAGAGUUUUUGGCUCUCCUAAACAGGUGCAAUUACCGCGCGAAAAUAUGUUAAAUAAUGAGAAAAUAAUUAAUGGAAUGAAAAAAUCAUUAUUCUUAAAUAUCACAAUUUUUGAAUGUUUUUAUUUUGCAUUUGGAACGUACACGUACCCGUUGCAUUUUUUCAAGCAUCUAAUGCGCGUUUCAGAAUCCAAUUGUUCCUUCUCAGCGAGCAUCAAAUUUGUUAACUUUGAGAACGCAUCGCCUGAAAAUGUGUUUUCUAGUCAAUAUCAGUCUCCUUUUUUUUAUCGACAAAGUAUGUCAUAAACUCAACAAAACAAUUUUGACUAGUUCAAACAUUCAGUCUCAGCUUAUACCAGUUGAAUAAAUGCUGUUAUUUGCGGUGCACAAGUCUUACUCUGGGAUUGGUCACAUAGCUAUGUUUAUUUUUUUUUCUUUAUGUUUUCGUAAUAAUUUAUGCAUUACUGUGACUCGUCUGUAAUGGCUUUUAUAUUGUGAUAAAUAUAACUGUUUCUGAAAUUUC